GAUGAAGAACGUAGCAAAAUGCGAUAAGUAAUGUGAAUUGCAGAAUUCAGUGAAUCAUCGAAUCUUUGAACGCACAUUGCGCCCGCCAGUAUUCUGGCGGGCAUGCCUGUUCGAGCGUCAUUUCAACCCUCAAGCACAGCUUGGUGUUGGGACUCGCGUUAAUUCGCGUUCCCCAAAUUGAUUGGCGGUCACGUCGAGCUUCCAUAGCGUAGUAGUAAAACCCUCGUUACUGGUAAUCGUCGCGGCCACGCCGUUAAAUCCCAACUUCUGAAUGUUGACCUCGGAUCAGGUAGGAAUACCCGCUGAACUUAAGCAUAUCAAUAAGCGGAGGA
rnacentral:misc_RNA from 1 species